rnacentral:lncRNA from 1 species
GCUGCUCCAUUAUACCUUUUUUUGGCGAAGGUAACGUCGUAUCGUCACCCCCCUCCUCUUUCAGGUUAGGAUUACGGUUCUUAUUCUCCUCUUCCUUGGUGCUCAAACGAUUUCAGAUUUUCCUCUACCUCCAUUCUUUCUUUCGCUUCCCCUUCGUUUUGGAUUUCGUUUUCUUCACAAGACACUAAGAUCACGUUUGGUUCGCUGUAUUGGAUUAGAGAUGUAUUGGAUUAGAGGUGUAAUGGAAUAGAGGUGUAAUAGCAAAUUAACUGUUUGGUUGAAUGUAAUGGAAUAGAGGCGUAAUAGUAAUCUUGUGUUUGGUUGAAUGGAAUAGAGGUGUAAUAGCAUAAUGGAAAAAACUAAAAUGACUAGAAUACCCUUAGCAUAAAUUUGUUUUGAUAAAUGAUUAUUGUUAUUGUUAUUUAAAUUUUAAUAAGAUUAUUAUUAUCAAUAAUAAAUAAUUUAAUCAUAUUUAAAUAUAAUUAUUAUUAAAUAUAUUUUAAUUAAAAUAUAUAAUUUAAUAAAAUUCUUAAUAAUUAAUAUUCUGAUAUGAAUUUACUCAAAUAAUAAUAUAUGAUACUAUAAAAUAUAAAUUAAUAUAAUUAUUAUUAAAUAUAUUAUAAUUAAAAUAUAUAAUUUAAUAAAAUUCUUAAUAAUUAAUAUUCUUAUAUAAAUUUACUCAAAUCAUAAUAUAUGAUACUAUAAAAGAUAAUUUAACAUAAUUAUUAUUAAAUAUAUCUUAAUUAAAAUAUAUAAUUUAAUAAAAUUCUUAAUAAUUAAUAUUCUUAUAUGAAUUUACUCAAAUCAUAAUAUAUUGUACUAUAAAAGAUAAUUUGAAAUAAUUAAUAUUAAAUAUAUUUUAAUUAAAAUAUAUGAUUUAAUAAAAUUUAAAAUAAUUAUAACUAAUAAAAUUUAAUAAGUGAGUAAGAAUUGAACUCUAAAAAAAAAAACAUAACCAUAUAGAAUUGAACUUUAAAAAUAAAAAAAAAACAUAACCAUAUUGAAUUAUCAUCAACAACUCGAUUGAAUUUACAACAAUUCUGAAUUAAAUGGAAGUACUGCCUCAAUAUCUCACUUCAACUAAAAAUAUAAAGUAAGAAUUCAAUAGAAGAAAUUCAAGCCGAUACAAUAUCUUUUUCACCCUGCUCUCAACUCCAAUUGGCCUUCCAUGAAACCAAUUCUUCACUUCAAACAAAAUAGCUCAUCAAUCUAGCAGGAAAACGAAUACUGUCCAAAGUUGCCAUUGAAAAUAACCUCCAACUUCAUGUGUCCAUUCCACAAGUUAAGGGAAAAAGCAAUCAAUGGCAAUUCUGGAUUUAUAUGAUGCAUUGAUAAAUCAGGAAAAACAAUCUUUCUAACUCCUAAUCACACCAAAAGGAGAAGGGGAGAGUAGCUACUUGAAAUGGUACAUUUUAAAGUUGCAGUAACAAGGAAAUAAGAUUUGUCACUUUAACUUACAAGGAAAUUAACAAGUAUGACAGAUAAUAUUCCCAAGUAAACACAUAUAAAAGUGAACAUGCUAGUGUGGCAUAGGCAAACACGAAAAACCAGAGAGGAAGUCAAUGAUUAUAUACUUACAGUAGAUAAAGAUUGAUUCAAUCAAUUCAGGAGAGAAAAAGAGUGCAGUGGCUUAUGUAUUAAGAGUUUUUCAAGCAACCAGAUGAACCUGAAAUUAGCAUUUCUUUCAGGAUACAGAGUGAAAAAAUGAAGAGAUGGUUAAGAAAAUGUCAACCACAUAGAUUUGCAUAAGCAAGCCGCAGUGUGCAAUCCUCCCAAUGGAGGCCUGAGCUCCCCUUUGAAAUUUCUUCCCUUGGGUUCUAAUUGCAAUUUAAAAUGACAACAAAAUCAUCAUCAAUCACUAUCCUAAAUAUCCUGGGACACAAAAAUAAACCUUUGCAAUUACCAUCAGAGUCAAUGUAUGUAAUUGUGGUACGUUUGUCGACUGGGUUGAAUGGAAGAAAGUGAACCUCUUUGAUGUUUGCACGAGCCUGAAUAUGCAAGGUUUCUUUCAUUAUUUGACAUGAACAUCUAAAAGAAUCAAAUGAAAAAGAGAACCUUGAAAUUGAACAUUUUUGUUGUUGUAUUACCUCAUUCGGGUCUGCAAGCAUGUUAAUGAUGGCUGCAUCAAUAGCAUCCUGAUUUUCCAGUCUGGAGGCUCUUGCUGCUAGCAGAACAACCAAGUCUUUGUCCAUAUUUUUGCUAAAAACCUUAAGAAAAAGGUGAACAUGGCUAUUUAACCUUUAUCUGAAAAUUGAGUCAUUGCAAGAACUAGGAGUUUCAAAUUUUUGAAGUCCAGCUAUUGUACCUCAACAAGGUUCCGAUCAACGGUUAGACGAUUCAAGGUCAGAGUUCCAGUUUUGUCACUGCAUAGAACAUCCAUUCCAGCCAUUUCUUCAAUUGUAGUCAUCCUUUUAGUAAUGGCACCCUAAAAAAACAAACCAAACAAUAGAUUUGUAAACAACGUAGAAUAAGUAUUUCAGUUUGUCAUUGUGCUGUUUUGGAUGUUUUAGCUUAUUUUUACUGGAAAAUGAUGUGCAUUGAAUAAGAGUUGUACCUGUUGAGACAGUCGAUGAGAACCGAUUGCAAGAGUAACAGAUAAUACAGGAAUUUUUACAUGAUAUAUCUUCAGUUAUUUAAUUGACUUUUAUCACUAUCAAGUAGAGCACUUGCCUGAUCAAUUUUAAGUGGAUCGCCUUCAAGAAGGCGAGCAUCUGCAGGGAUGAUAUCUCCAAGUUUUAUGCUAAUUAUAUCUCCUGGUACUAAAAUAGCAGCAUCUGUCUCUUGCCAUUGACCAUCUCUGAGAACCUGCAUAAAAGAAAAAUGAUUAUGAAAAUUUAGACAUUAUUGUAUUUGCAAAGGCAUUAAAGAAACUUAAAGAGAGUUGCAGACCUUUGUUUUAGGAGCCAGACGAGCCAUGAGUGCGGCUGCAGCAUUUCCAGCAUUGUUUUCCUCAAUGAAACUGAUUGUUGAAUUGAUAAUCAGAAGGCAUAUAAUCCCUACAAAGUCCUGCCAGUCAGGACCCUCACCCUGAAACAAAACAAACCGCAGAAAGCUAUCAGGGUGACCAUUCAAGCUUUGAAAAGUAUAUGGGGAAAGAUAUAUAACUUAGUCCACCAUUGGCAAGGACAAUGGCCAUCACUGCUGCAGCUUCCAUAACCCAUGAUAAUGGGUUCCACAUAAAACUUAGAAACUUCAAAAACUUGUUUUCCUGGAGUAUGAUAAAAAAGCUAGCAUUGUCACAGUGCUUCAAACCAAACCAGAUAAACUACAGCUAGCUUAGCUAAUAGGCUGCAAGGUCUUACUCUAUUGCAAUUUUAUAACUAGAACUACAGAUAAAUAAUGAUGAUUUAACUGAAAAUUUGAAACUCUAUAUAUAUAUCCGAAAUUACGGGUGCUUACGAGCUUCUCCUCGAGCUUAUUCUGACCAAAAAUAUGGACUCGAACUUCAGCAUCUUCAGAUGUAAGUCCUGCACGGGAUGUUCUCAGUAAAAUAAAUGAUCGUAAAACUGAAUUUAAAUCACCAAAAACGUUAAAUAAAAUAAUCGACAUUUCUUUUACCUUCUGAAUUUCCAUUGAGCAGCAGAAGGAACUUCAACAGGAGGCAAACCUUCAUGCUUCCAAUCGGAAAAAGCAUCUAAUGCAUUGAAACGAAUAUCGUUGCCGCUUGCGACGUCUUUAAGAGAAUCAAACAACUUUCACCGAAUAUCAUUUCCGGUAAAGUGGCGAAGUUUGGAGUCUUUGUUCCCAUUGUUGGAGAGCCAAUAAGUUGAGAAUCAAGCGGUUACCACCAUGAAACAGCAACAGGGUCGAGCGGAUGAAGAAGAAGAAGCAGUCUGCUAAUGAGUGAUGAAGAAGAAGCAGAUGUGGCGGCAGAAAGGAAGGAAAAAGUUAUGGAAUCAGAAAAAUCAGAAGAAGCAAUUAGGAGGGUAAAACAGGGUAGAAAAUGGGGAGAAGUUAAUACGCAGCAAAACAGAGCUUUUCAUCCGGAAUAGAAAUCGGUGGAUUUUAGGGAUUAGGUCUGUAAUGAAUUAGACCUGUAAUAACAAUACACUGAACCAAACAAUGAAUUAAAGGAGUAUUAAGUGGGGCCCAUUGAUUAGGGAUGUAUUGGCUAUGCCAAUACACCCAACCAAACAUGCUCUAAGGCUUUCUUUCCUGAUUAGCUCGUGAAUCUUAUAUAUUACGUUAACCCAAACCCAAUCACAUCGACUUUUUCCAUUUAACUAGCAAUAAUUUACCAAUUAAAAAGGAGAAAUAAAUAAAUAAAUCUACUUUGAAUGACUAAAAGGACUUUGUGAUUAACUAAUAACAGAACCAAUUAUACUGAAAAUCAAACAGCAUUAGCAAAGGGAGAGGAAUGGCCAUACUGCUCAUGAAAAUGGAGAAAAUAUUUUUAGCUUUUCUAUUUAUGUAUAAAUAUAUAUACGUGUUAGGUUUUGAUUUGGUUACAAAUAUCCCUACAAAUAUUGCUAUCAUUUUUUUUUCCUUUUUUUUUUUACUAUUAUUAACAAAGGAGUUAUAACACAGGGGAUGCUGAUGCUGAAGCUGCAACCGAAACUAGUAUUUUUACGACACUAUUUCCCCCUCUUCACCAUCUUCAUUCAGAAUUGCCUCAUCAUCCUCGUCUUCCGAAUACUCGACCUUGAUGAACAAACCCAACUGCUGCAGGGGAUUUC